GAGGAAGUAGACGGACGGGAGUGAUGGGGGAGACAGGAGGAAGUAGACGGAGGGGAGUGAUGGGGGAGACAGGUAGACGUAGACGGAGGGGAGUGAUGGGGGAGACAGGGGGAAGUAGACGGAGGGGAGUGAUGGGGGAGUAAGGAGGAAGUAGACGGACGGGAGUGAUGGGGGAGACAGGUAGACGUAGACGGAGGGGAGUGAUGGGGGAGACAGGUGGACGUAGAUGGAAGGGAGUGAUGGGGGAGUAAGGAGGAAGUAGACGGACGGGAGUGAUGGGGGAGACAGGAGGAAGUAGACGGAGGGGAGUGAUGGGGGAGACAGGAGGAAGUAGACGUAGGGGAGUGAUGGGGGAGACAGGAGGAAGUAGACUGAGGGGAGUGAUGGGGGAGACAGGAGGAAGUAGACGUAGGGGAGUGAUGUGGGAGACAGGAGGAAGUAGACGGAGGGGAGUGAUGGGGGAGACAGGAGGAAGUAGACGGAGGGGAGUGAUGGGGGAGACAGGUAGACGUAGACGGAGGGGAGUGAUGGGGGAGACAGGUGGACGUAGAUGGAAGGGAGUGAUGGGGGAGUAAGGAGGAAGUAGACGGACGGGAGUGAUGGGGGAGACAGGAGGAAGUAGACGUAGGGGAGUGAUGUGGGAGACAGG
ensembl:lncRNA